GAGCACGUAGGUGGGUUUGUAAGUCAGACGUGAAAGCCUUCUGUUCAACGGAAGAAUUGCAUCUGAAACUACAAACCUUGAGUGUAGGAGGGGAGAAUGGAACUUCUGGUGGAGCGGUGAAAUGCGUAGAUAUCAGAAGGAACGCCGGCGGCGAAAGCGAUUCUCUGGCCUAUUACUGACACUCAGUGUGCGAAAGCUAGGGGAGCAAACGGGAUUAGAUACCCCGGUAGUCCUAGCCGUAAACGAUGGGCACUAAGUAGAGGGAAUUACCGAUGUUCUCUCUGCCGUAGCUAACGCAUUAAGUGCCCCGCCUGGGAGUACGGCCGCAAGGCUAAAACUCAAAAGAAUUGACGGGGGCUCGCACAAGCGGUGGAGCAUGUGGCUUAAUUCGAUGCAACGCGAAAAACCUUACCGGGGCUUGACAUGGUAGAAGUAGGAACCCGAAAGGGUAACGAACGGUAUUCAGUCCGUGACUAUCACAGGUGUUGCAUGGCUGUCGUCAGCUCGUGUCGUGAGACGUUGGGUUAAGUCCCCUAACGAGCGAAACCCUUAUUUUUAGUUGCCAGCGGGUUGUGCCGGGCACUCUAGAAAGACUGCCGUCGUCAAGACGGAGGAAGGUGGGGAUGACGUCAAGUCAUCAUGGCCCUUAUACCCCGGGCUGCACACGUGCUACAAUGGCCGGUACAAACGGAAGCGAAGCCGAGAGGUGAAGCGAAUCC
rnacentral:rRNA from 1 species